rnacentral:rRNA from 1 species
GACGUAGGGCGCGAGCGUUGUCCGGAUUUAUUGGGCGUAAAGAGCUCGUAGGCGGCUUGUUGCGUCGACCGUGAAAACCCGGGGCUCAACUUCGGGCUUGCGGUCGAUACGGGCGGGCUAGAGUUCGGUAGGGGAGACUGGAAUUCCUGGUGUAGCGGUGAAAUGCGCAGAUAUCAGGAGGAACACCGGUGGCGAAAGCCCUCUGCUGGGCCGACACUGACACUGAGAGACGAAAGCUAGGGGAGCAAAUGGG